rnacentral:tRNA from 2 species
ACGCCUGUAGCUCAACGGAAUCAGAGCAGCAGCCUACGAAGCUGUUGGUUAAGGGUUCGAAUCCCUUCAGGCGUUCCA